GGUUUCCUCUAGGGGGGAGAAAGGCAGGAUCUGUUCUCAGGGCUAAUAAGCUGCUGCUUGUCACCUUGGACUGCUGAGUCUUGUGUGUGCCGUGAAAGGUGGUAUUUUUCAUCCAUUGAUCUCAAAGCACAUCACAAAGCAGCCACACCAAUGGGGUUGCCUGAGGGAGGAACCGCUCGCCAGUGCAAGCAAGGGAGUGAUCUGGCCCUAGAUGCGAUAAAUCGAUCCCUGAACGUGCUCCCCGUCGACUCCGGAACUCCAGCUCGCGAGAGGCGGAAGUGGAGUCCACGAGGGAGCAGCAGCGGUUGACUCACGGCCGUCCUCAUGGUCAGUAGCAGUAGCUGGGCUUUCAGUCUGGAAUGCAUGGUGGGGCCACCAAAACCAGAAACAUCUCCCUGAUCACUCGGGACACCAGCUGGAGCCAAGUCAGGAGCUAAACGCCGUGACUGACCACAGGGAGGUGUGAGUGACUCUGCUGUUUCAGAUGGGGGGGAAGGAAAGUGGGUGAUCAUAGACCCAUCUGCCUGAUGGUCUCCUUGCCUCAUUCUUACUGUCCAAUCUCUCCCAAAGGGUCAAACCCAAUCAUGGUGCGAGCAGGUACCAUCCUGAGAUCAGUAGCACCAACUUACACCCAGCCUGACUGCAGUUUGCACCACAGCUGAAUUCAGCUCCGAUGCCAUUUAAGCACGGUCCAUAAAUCCUUGCCCCUUCCCAUAUUCCACCCUGCCCCAGGAUGUGAAGAAAACCAGGGAGAUGACUUUCAAGCCACAAUCCAGUGUUAGGGGAGCAGUCCUCAGGCAUGGGCUGUGUGGUACGGAGAACGGUGCUUUCAGUGAGGUUAGCUCUCAGUGACAGCCUGGCACUGGGUCGUGAUUCUGAGGAAACUGGCCCUUGGUCAGAGGGCUCCUUUUGUGCAUGCGUGGCCUGCCUCAUGUAUGCACAAUCUUCCUUGCAGGCUGCCUUUCCCGGGUCCCCAGCAGCAGAUGGGAUAUUUUAUUGUUCUUGUGAAAUAGCAGCCAAUGAUUGCAGUGUUAGUCAGGCACUUUAUGGCCCUCUGUAAAGCAGUACAAAUGAAACACUUUGCCUCCUGUAUUUUUGCUACUUUUGCAGCUGCACCACUUUGUCUAUAGGACCUGGGGCUGCCAACUUUUAGAGUGAGGUUGACUCAGCCAGUCGCACCUAGAAGGGGUGGAUCAGAGAACAGGGCUUUCCUGUCUUGAGGAGCCAAAACAGGGGCAAACGUUCUGCUAUUUGGCUGGCUCGGCCCUGGGCACUGGUGUUCUCCUCCAGGAAGUGAUGGUGGCUGUACCCAUUUGCUGACAGAGCCCUAGACCCAGCAUGAUGCUGCAUCCAUCCGUUGUGCCAACUGACUGUCUGGUACACGCCUUCCCAGCCCUACUUCUGUAAGGGGAAGAUCUGCGUCCCGUCAGUCAAUGCUGCUUGGAAAAGGAGCCAAAGCCAUGGCAUUCAAGGCCCUUGCAGCACCCAGAGGAGCUCCAUGGGUACAUGGAUGCUGUUGAGAUCAGAUGCCUGCCUGGGGGAGGUUGUCAGUAUAGAAGGCCUGCAAAUCUGGAGGACUUUGCGCUGUGGAAUGUUGUGACACUGACCGGAAAUGGACUGUUCCGAAGUGGCACCUCCAGCAGGCAGCGUUUACAUCACUGGGGAACAAAUUCCCAGCAAUACAAGGAGAGCAUUGGUGAUGGAGGGAUCACCAAGGAAGGGAAGAGGACAGGGGACAAGUAGGCCUGCUCCAAAUUCUGAGUACGUGCAAAGGGCUGGGUGAGCACCUACAAGUCUAGCUGUGAAGCAUACCAACCUCUGGGGUCUGCAGAACUGGCCUUGAUAUCUCAGAACCUCAUGGUCCUUCAUGGAAUUCUACAUGCCUCCUACCUAUGGGCUUGGGUGUACCAUGAAGACAGCCUUUCCUGGGAUCUUUUGGCUCUUCCACUUCUGCGUGCUAGGGGACUGGGGUACCUAGCAAAAACUGGGUUAAAAAAGUGAAAUGGACUCUUCCAAUCUGGGCGGCAGUUCAGCGGCAGGGUGCAGGGACCUGCAGGUCAGUGCUUGUGAUACUCCAUCCCUAGUUACUACUUUAUUAAUAAUAAUAAUAAUAAAAACUGCAGCCUAUUGCCUAGCCCCACUGCAGUUGGAGGUCAGGGGUCUGAUUUCCAUCCUCAGAACCAGUCCCCAUAGCUUUGGUUCUGGGUCAGAUUCCCCAAAUGGGAGGGGUCUAUUUUCUGUUUCAGACGUGGCUGUGAUCAUACUAAAGCAGCCACUGAAGAGAGAUUUUUGCUCAAGGUGGUAGAAAUCUCCCCAGGUUUCUGCCACAUGGGUCCAAAGCAACACAAGAUUCCUCUCUGUUUGGGGCUGAAAGCAUGAGAGCAUCAAAUCCAACCCCUAUAACUCUGCUGCCCCCUCCAACCCACUCCCCAGUAUAUACUGGCCUAGUGGACCCCUCUGCCUGGGAGAGUGGUAAUUCCACAUGGCAAAAGGAAGGGAGCUUUCAGCUCCUAGGCCUGCCCAGAGGUUAACACAUGGGAGAGCUACCACUGUGAUCAGCCUCCCACGCCCCAUCCUAUUCAUUAAUCACCCACUCAGAUCAGUGUCUGCAAAAGUAGGAAACCAUUUUUCACUGCCACCCCUGCCCGCCCACCCCUUCUCCUGCAGGGCCUGCCCCUCCCAGCAGCCUAACUCCAUGUGGUCCUCUGGUCCCCUGGCAUUUGCAGGCCCCUCUGGAAGAAGAUUUCGUGCUGCCUUCACCUUGCUGCCAUUUUUUGCCUCCAGAGUCCCCUGGUGGAGGAAGACUGUCUCUCACAGCACCAUAUGGCACCAUCCCAGCAUAUAAUGGAAGGGGAGGCAGAAGCCAGAGAGAGGUGUGUGAGGAGAACCGAGUUUUUCCUGCAUGGAGCAUGGAAACUGCUGUGGCACUUCUCUCUCUCUCUCUGCUGGAAGUCACAGCAAGGUGUAUGCAGGCCCUUCUCCCACCCCAGGGUCCUGCUGCUCCAUGAGGGAGAACUACAGAGCCCUCUUACCUGGGGAACAGGCAGAGAUGCCAGCAUACUGCAGAAAGGAGACUCUUCCUGCUAACGUACGCCCUCAAAGGGGUACAGCGCAGUGAGGCCAGCUGCUCACCUUGGCUCUGGGGCUCAAGUCCCUUCUCCAGCACUGCCCCUUGCCAAUGGGCCAUGCCCCGCAGCCACCUCUGUGAAAGGUGACAGCAGCUCUCUCUGUUCCAUGCCUGCUACAGAGAUUGCCACCACGGGGAGCCAAUUAGUGCCAACUGCCAUAGGGAAACUUUCCCACUAGGAGCUGGGUUGAGGCGACCAGCUCCCUUCACGAACGCCACCAGCAGCUAUUCCUGAGCUGCGGUCCCUACUGCCCACGGCUGGCCUCAACAUGGCCGUAUAGCCACAAUAAGCUCAGUAGCCUGUCCCCCCAGAGCCACCCAGUUCCCAGGCAAAGCCUCCCCCUGGGAUGUCAUGCCCUUCCCCCUAGUGACUCCACACUGCCUUGAUGCAUUCUGUGACGUUGGCUGGGAUGCAGCCAUGGCCUGGCUUGCAGCACAGUCCAUGGGAAUGCUUUGUGGUAGGGGGAACAAGAGCUGCUCGUUAAUUAGCCUUCCCUCACUGGAGAGCAUCCACUCAGGUGCUGCAACAAUGCACAACUCCUGCCUUUUAAUUUCCUGUGAGUAAUCACUCAGCCGCUAUUAAAAAAGCAAACAACAAGCCCCUCACCUGGCUGUUCAUGCUCCUGGCUCUUAACCUGCUCCUCUAUUCUAAUUUGUCACUAGCAUCAGUUCAAUAGCAAGAAGAAGGAUGGGAUUGUGUUUACGGCACUGGGCUGGCAGUCAUUGGGUCAAUUCCCUGCUUUGCCCAAGAUGCCUUGUGUGACCCUGGGAAAAAUACUUCCAUCUCUCCGUGCAGCUGAUCCCUGUCUGUAAAAUGGGGAGUCUGGCCCUUCCUUUCUGUCUUGUCCGUUUAGACUAUAAGCUCUUCGGGGCAGGGACUGUGUGUACACAGCACCUAGCACAAUUGGGCCUUGAUCUCACUUGUAGUGUCUAGGAGCUAUUGGAGUGGCAGUCCAUUAGAAACCUAAUGAAUUCAGUACGUACUUGUUUGCCCUGCGAUAGUACCUAGAGGACCCAGUUGAGUGUGGGGCCCGUAUAGGGACAGAUGCUGGACAAACACCUACUGAAAAGACAGUCUCUGCCCCAAUGAGCUUACAACAGAAGUCAAAUCUUGUCCGAGAAAUCGUUUGCAGUGUUGGCCCAGCUUCACUAGUCCCUACAAGUUGGGCAUUUUCUUUUCUUGUCAUUUGCAAAUCUCCAGCAUCUUUAAACAUUCUCUCCUGAUGGAGAGCCUUGUGCAUGAGCCUUGGAUAAACCCACUGAGACUAUGGGGCUUAACCAUAUGCUGAAUGAAUGUAAUGUCCUUAAAUAAUUUGAGGCUGCUAUGGUCUCAGAAACUCUCCAUCUUUCUCAGGGAUAAAGAUUCAUUUCUCUC